GCGCACCAGUCGCGAAACCUCCGCAAUGCGGGAAACCGCGACGGGGGACCCCGAGUGCCGUGGCAACGCCACGGCUUUUCCGGAGUGUAAAAAGCUCCGGGAAUAAGGGCUGGGCAAGGCCGGUGGCAGCCGCCGCGGUAAUACCGGCGGCCCGAGUGGUGGCCGCUAUUAUUGGGCCUAAAGCGUCCGUAGCCGGGCCCGUAAGUCCCUGGCGAAAUCCCACGGCUCAACCGUGGGGCUUGCUGGGGAUACUGCGGGUCUUGGGACCGGGAGAGGCGGGGGGUACCCCUGGGGUAGGGGUGAAAUCCUAUAAUCCCAGGGGGACCGCCAGUGGCGAAGGCGCCCCGCUGGAACGGGUCCGACGGUGAGGGACGAAGGCCAGGGGAGCAAACCGGAUUAGAUACCUGGGUAGU
rnacentral:rRNA from 1 species